AUUGAACGCUGGCGGUAUGCUUAACACAUGCAAGUCGAACGAUGAGAAAGAGCUUGCUCUUUCGAUUAGUGGCGGACGGGUGCGUAACGCGUAGGAAUCUACCUAUUAGUGGGGGACAACUUAGGGAAACUUAAGCUAAUACCGCAUACGCCCUACGGGGGAAAGAAGGGGAUCGCAAGACCUUUUGCUAAUAGAUGAGCCUGCGUAGGAUUAGCUAGUUGGUGGGGUAAAAGCUAACCAAGGCGACGAUCCUUAACUGGUUUGAGAGAAUGAUCCGUCACAAUGGACAUGAGCCACUGUCCAGACUCCUACGGGAGGCAGAAGUGGGUAAUAUUGGACAAAUCGCGAAAGCCUGAUCCAGCAAUGCCGCGUGUGUUAAGAAGGCCUUAGGGUUGUAAAGCACUUUCAAUUGGAAGGAAAACCUCGAAGCUAAUACCUUCGAGUUUGACAUUACCUUUAGAAGAAGCACCGGCUAACUCCGUGCCAGCCGCCGCCGUAACAC
rnacentral:rRNA from 1 species